rnacentral:rRNA from 1 species
GGGCCCGCACAAGCGGUGGAGCAUGUGGUUUAAUUCGACGCAACGCGAAGAACCUUACCCAGACUUGACAUGCAUUGGACGGGUGUGGAAACACACCUUUCCUUCGGGACCAAUGCACAGGUGCUGCAUGGCUGUCGUCAGCUCGUGUCGUGAGAUGUUGGGUUAAGUCCCGCAACGAGCGCAACCCUUGUCCUUAGUUGCUAACGGGUAAAGCCGAGCACUCUAAGGAGACUGCCGGUGGUAAACCGGAGGAAGGUGGGGAUGACGUCAAGUCCUCAUGGCCCUUACGUCUGGGGCUACACACGUGCUACAAUGGCCGGUACAAAGGGUUCCGAUACCGCGAGGUGGAGGCAAUCCCAAAAAACCGGUCUCAGUUCGGAUUGCAGUCUGCAACUCGACUGCAUGAAGUUGGAAUCGCUAGUAAUCGCUGAUCAGCAGGCAGCGGUGAAUACGUUCCCGGGCCUU